rnacentral:tRNA from 1 species
GCUCGCGUAGCCCAACAGAAGAGGCAUCUGACUUAAGAUCAGAGAGUUGAGAGUGCAAAUCUCUCCGCGAGCACUA